UACGUAGGUGGCAAGCGUUGUCCGGAUUUACUGGGCGUAAAGAGCGCGCAGGCGGUCGUUCAAGUCGCGUGUGAAAGCCCCCGGCUCAACUGGGGAGGGUCACGCGAUACUGAUCGACUCGAAGGCAGGAGAGGGUAGUGGAAUUCCCGGUGUAGUGGUGAAAUGCGCAGAUAUCAGGAGGAACACCGAUUGCGAAGGCAGCUCGCUGGGACGUAACUGACGCUGAGACGCGAAAGCGUGGGGAGCAAACAGG
rnacentral:rRNA from 1 species